AUCGCUUCUCGGCCUUUCGGCUAAGAUCAAGUGUAGUAUCUGUUCUUAUCAGUUUAAUAUCUGAUAUGUUCUCUAGUUGAGAACUCUAUAUUAAGUGGAUUUUUGGAAAUAGGAGAUGGAACAAGAGCUUGCUCUAUCCACUCCCUGCAUCAGCCUGGUAUUGCAGUGCCUCUAGGAAUGGUGCACCUCCC